rnacentral:rRNA from 1 species
GAUGAACGCUGGCGGCGUGCUUAAUACAUGCAAGUCGAGCGAACAGACGAGGAGCUUGCUCCUCUGACGUUAGCGGCGGACGGGUGAGUAACACGUGGAUAACCUACCUAUAAUACUGGGAUAACAUCGGGAAACCGGAGCUAAUACCGGAUAAUAUAUUGAACCGCAUGGUUCAAUAGUGAAAGACGGUUUUGCUGUCACUUAUAGAUGGAUUCGCGCCGCAUUAGCUAGUUGGUAAGGUAACGGCUUACCAAGGCAACGAUGCGUAGCCGACCUGAGAGGGUGAUCGGCCACACUGGAGCUGGACCGCGGUCAAGAGUCCUGCGGGAGGCAGCAGUAGGGAAUCUUACGCAGUAGGCGAGAGCCUGACGGAACGGCGCCGCGUGAGUGAUGGAGAUGUUCGGAUCGUGAGACUCUGUUAUUGGGGGAGAACAAAUGUGUAAGUAACUAUGCACGUCUUGACGGUACCUAAUCAGAAAGCCACGGCUAACUACGUG